rnacentral:rRNA from 1 species
CCUACGGGUGGCAGCAGUGAGGAAUAUUGGUCAAUGGACGGAAGUCUGAACCAGCCAUGCCGCGUGCAGGAAGACGGCUCUAUGAGUUGUAAACUGCUUUUGUACAAGGGUAAACCUGAAUACGUGUAUUCAGCUGAAAGUACUGUACGAAUAAGGAUCGGCUAACUCCGUGCCAGCAGCCGCGGUAAUACGGAGGAUCCAAGCGUUAUCCGGAUUUAUUGGGUGUAAAGGGAGCGCAGGCGGGAAGACAAGUCAGUGGUGAAAACUACGGGCUUAACUUGUAGACCGCAGUUGAAACUGGUUUUCUUGAGUGAAGUAGAGGUUGGCGGAAUUCCGAGUGUAGCGGUGAAAUGCGUAGAUAUUCGGAGGAACACCGGUGGCGAAGGCGGCCACCUGGGCUUUAACUGACGCUGAGGCUCGAAAGUGUGGGGAGCAAACAGGAUUAGAUACCCGUGUAGUC